CAGUAGCCACGGGAAUACGUAGGUGGCGAGCGUUGUCCGGAAUCAUUGGGCGUAAAGGGAGCGCAGGCGGGCAUGUAAGUCUUUCUUAAAAGUGCGGGGCUCAACCCCGUGAUGGGAAGGAAACUACAUGUCUUGAGUACAGGAGAGGAAAGCGGAAUUCCCAGUGUAGCGGUGAAAUGCGUAGAUAUUGGGAGGAACACCAGUGGCGAAGGCGGCUUUCUGGACUGCAACUGACGCUGAGGCUCGAAAGCCAGGGGAGCGAACGGGAUUAGAUACCCCAGUAGUCCCUGUCUCUUAUACA
rnacentral:rRNA from 1 species